rnacentral:rRNA from 1 species
GGGACACGUGGUAUCCUGUCUGAAUAUGGGGGGACCAUCCUCCAAGGCUAAAUACUCCUGACUGACCGAUAGUGAACCAGUACCGUGAGGGAAAGGCGAAAAGAACCCCGGCGAGGGGAGUGAAAAAGAACCUGAAACCGUGUACGUACAAGCAGUGGGAGCACGCUUAGGCGUGUGACUGCGUACCUUUUGUAUAAUGGGUCAGCGACUUAUAUUCUGUAGCAAGGUUAACCGAAUAGGGGAGCCGAAGGGAAACCGAGUCUUAACUGGGCGUUAAGUUGCAGGGUAUAGACCCGAAACCCGGUGAUCUAGCCAUGGGCAGGUUGAAGGUUGGGUAACACUAACUGGAGGACCGAACCGACUAAUGUUGAAAAAUUAGCGGAUGACUUGUGGCUGGGGGUGAAAGGCCAAUCAAACCGGGAGAUAGCUGGUUCUCCCCGAAAGCUAUUUAGGUAGCGCCUCGUGAAUUCAUCUCCGGGGGUAGAGCACUGUUUCGGCAAGGGGGUCAUCCCGACUUACCAACCCGAUGCAAACUGCGAAUACCGGAGAAUGUUAUCACGGGAGACACACGGCGGGUGCUAACGUCCGUCGUGAAGAGGGAAACAACCCAGACCGCCAGCUAAGGUCCCAAAGUCAUGGUUAAGUGGGAAACGAUGUGGGAAGGCCCAGACAGCCAGGAUGUUGGCUUAGAAGCAGCCAUCAUUUAAAGAAAGCGUAAUAGCUCACUGGUCGAGUCGGCCUGCGCGGAAGAUGUAACGGGGCUAAACCAUGCACCGAAGCUGCGGCAGCGACACUAUGUGUUGUUGGGUAGGGGAGCGUUCUGUAAGCCUGUGAAGGUGUGCUGUGAG